UGAGUUUGAUCAUGGCUCAGAUUGAACGCUGGCGGCAGGCCUAACACAUGCAAGUCGAACGGUAGCACAGAGAGCUUGCUCUCGGGUGACGAGUGGCGGACGGGUGAGUAAUGUCUGGGAAACUGCCUGAUGGAGGGGGAUAACUACUGGAAACGGUAGCUAAUACCGCAUAACGUCGCAAGACCAAAGAGGGGGACCUUCGGGCCUCUUGCCAUCAGAUGUGCCCAGAUGGGAUUAGCUAGUAGGUGGGGUAACGGCUCACCUAGGCGACGAUCCCUAGCUGGUCUGAGAGGAUGACCAGCCACACUGGAACUGAGACACGGUCCAGACUCCUACGGGAGGCAGCAGUGGGGAAUAUUGCACAAUGGGCGCAAGCCUGAUGCAGCCAUGCCGCGUGUAUGAAGAAGGCCUUCGGGUUGUAAAGUACUUUCAGCGGGGAGGAAGGUGUUGCGGUUAAUAACCGCAGCAAUGA
rnacentral:rRNA from 1 species